AAUUAACAUCUAUGUAACCCAAGGGAAUGCAUUGAAACACAAUUAAUCAAUGUUUGUAAAUUGCUUUGAGACUCUGAGUUUUAUCUCCAUUUACUUCUAUUUCCCUGGGUUUUAUGUGUCAAGAUCUGGCCUGGCUUAGCUGUGUGUCUGUGGCUCAAGGUCUCUCAAGAAGCUGCCAGUCAAUCUGUUGGCUGGGACCAUGGUCUCAUCUGAAGACUCAUCUCAGUGGGGACUGGGGAGGACAUCCACUUCCAAUCUUACUCACAUGGUUUUGGCACCACUUGGACCUUUCCGCAGGGCUGCCUCAUGACAUGGCAGCUGACUUCCUCCAGAGUGAGCAAUCCAGGAGAGAUCAAGAGAGAUAGCUCAAAAUGGAGACCACAGUCUUUUUGACCUACUCUCAGAAGUAACAUACCAUCACUUCUGUUGUAUUCUGUUCAUUAGAAACAAAUCAAUAAGCCUUUCUCACAUGGUAAGCGGAGAUGAUUAUGCACAGGUGGAAUACUAGAAGAUGCGGAUCAUUGGUGUACGUCUCAGAGGCUGCCUACUACAUACAGGAAGUGGAAGAAGGAGGACUUUCAAUAUGGUAUCCCCAGUGCUUGCACAUAGGAGGUCCUCAUUAAGGGUUCAAAAUUAAAUUUACAAAAUAAGGUGUUGAUUUAUAUUCUAUCUUUCUGAGGGUAGUUUGGUUGGGGGAAAAUGAAUAACAGUUUCUUC
rnacentral:lncRNA from 1 species